UUUGAUGUUAAUGAUUUUUGGAUUGGGCUUCGUUUUGAGAUUUUCUAGAAAUGAGAGUGAUGGAUAUUCAACGUGUUCAUCCUCUGUUUUUCAUUUUGAAACCAUUAGAUCCAUUUUCGAAAAAGUAAAAACGUGGUUCGUGUUGUGUGUGUGUGUGUGUGUGUGUGAGAGAGAGAGAGAGGGGGGGGCUUGAAGAGAG
rnacentral:lncRNA from 1 species